GUAUAAGAGACAGCAGUCGCCGCGGGAAUACGUAGGGUGCAAGCGUUAAUCGGAAUUACUGGGCGUAAAGCGUGCGCAGGCGGUUAUAUAAGACAGAUGUGAAAUCCCCGGGCUCAACCUGGGAACUGCAUUUGUGACUGUAUAGCUAGAGUACGGCAGAGGGGGAUGGAAUUCCGCGUGUAGCAGUGAAAUGCGUAGAUAUGCGGAGGAACACCGAUGGCGAAGGCAAUCCCCUGGGCCUGUACUGACGCUCAUGCACGAAAGCGUGGGGAGCAAACAGGAUUAGAUACCCCUGUAGUCCCUGUCUCUUAUAA
rnacentral:rRNA from 1 species